CAGCCGCCGCGGUAAUACGUAGGGGGCGAGCUUUGUCCGGACUUAUUGGGCGUAAAGCGCGCGCAGGCGGUCCCUUAAGUCUGAUGUGAAAGCCCACGGCUCAACCGUGGAGGGUCAUUGGAAACUGGGGGACUUGAGUGCAGAAGAGGAGAGCGGAAUUCCACGUGUAGCGGUGAAAUGCGUAGAGAUGUGGAGGAACACCAGUGGCGAAGGCGGCUCUCUGGUCUGUAACUGACGCUGAGGCGCGAAAGCGUGGGGAGCAAACAGGAUUAGAUACCCUGGUAGUCCACGCCGUAAACGAUGAGUGCUAAGUGUUAGAGGGGUUAAACCCUUUAGUGCUGUAGCUAACGCGUUAAGCACUCCGCCUGGGGAGUACGGCCGCAAGGCUGAAACUUAAAGGAAUUGGCGGG
rnacentral:rRNA from 1 species